rnacentral:tRNA from 1 species
GGGCCUGUAGCUCAGUCUGGCAGAGCAGUAGACUCAUAAUCUAUUGGUCCAAGGUUCAAAUCCUUGCGGGCCCACCA